AUACUACUCCCUCCGUUCCAAAAUACUUGACUUUCAUUUGUCCAAAAAUGGAUGUACCUAUAUACUAAAACAUGUCUAGAUGCAUCUAGAUUUUGACAAACGAAAGGCAUGUAUUGUGGAACGGAGGGAGUACAUG
rfam:Triticum aestivum genome assembly, contig: Triticum_aestivum_CS42_TGACv1_scaffold_159476_2DL